ensembl:rRNA 5S_rRNA 5S ribosomal RNA
AUCUAUGGCCAUGCCACCCUGAACACGCCCGAUCUCAUCUGAUCUCGGAAGCUAAGCAGAGUCGGCCCAGGUAGUACUUGCUUGGAUGGGAGACCACCUAGGAAGAUGGGGUGCUGUAGGCA